CAUCCCACCUUCCGAACCAUGCAUGUGCCCUUCCCCCAGCCAGGGCGUAAUUCCUCGUGGGAGCAGCUCUGGCUGCAUCUUGGCAGGGUUCUUACCCCAGCACAUUGGACUCCCCUGGAGAGUGGGGAGAGUUACCUGUGCCGGGACUCUACCCCAAAGAGUCUGAUUCAACUCAUCUUGGCUUCAGUAUAGUUUUUAAAGCUCCCCAACCCGCUCUUAAAAAGUAAUAAAAAGGGGACUUCCCUGGCAGUCCAGUGGUUAAAGACCCCAUGCUUCCAAUUCAGGGAUGCAGGGGGGGUGAGGGUUCGAUACCUGGUCAGGGAACUAAGAUUCCACAUGCUGUGUGGUGUGGCAAAAAAUAAUAGAAGUUUUUUAAAGAGUAAUAAAAGGAAUGCAGGGCCACAGAAGGAAAGAGCACACUCUGUAGUCACUUUGCCUCCCCUUGGUUUUUAUUCAGCUGGUGGGGAAGCAGGGGCUCACGAUGGUGAACACUAGCUCUCCAAAGGGAGUGUGGAAUGAGAUCGUGGUGACGGUUGCACCACACAGAUAAUAGGCUAAAACCACUGAAUUGUACACUUUAAAAUGGUUUUACGGUAUGUGACUCACAUCUCAAUUUUUUUUAAAAAAUGAAUGUGGUAGAGAAGGCAAGAGGUGUGAAUGCACAGCAGGAAGGACGGCCAAGAAGAUGUGAGUUAGUCUAACAUCCCCUGAUGGUUAAAGAAAGUUCCUGUAAACACAGUGGAGGGCAGCAUAAAGGGGUAGAAAGACCACAGAGGUCUUUCCCUUGCAAAAGCUGGUCUUGGAGCAUCUCGUUGGAGAUGUUUUCCAGGAGCUGUCCACCUGAGCUGGACCAGCGGGAAGCUCUGGCAGCCAUCAGCUGGACCGCAGCCCAUCUCCCCACACUAAGAAGCACCGGGCACUGAGAGGGUCCUGAGUAGAGAGAGCUGAGGAGAAGUGAGCAGAGACCCCCUAACAGGCCUGUAGGCAGCAGCUCAAGUUGUAUUCCGGGAAAUAGAUAAUCAGUGUCUAGGAACUCAGUGUUACAGUGUGUUGUGGAUUCCACAAUACAGGUGUCAAAACUUAAAAAUUUAAAUGAAGGACCCAGCAAUCCCAAUCCGAGGUAUCUACCCAAGAAAACUGAAAACAUACUCACCCCAAAACUUGUAUGGGAAUGUUCCAAAAAACUCAAACUCUGGGCUAAUGUCAAAUGUGUACAUGAAUGUUUUGGCAUUAUCCACAGUAGCCCCAAAGUGGAGCCAACACAAAUAUCCAUCAACUGAUGAAUGAAUAAACAAAAUGUUUAUCAGGAACAAAACAAAAACAUCCCCAGAUGAUUCUGUUACACAGGCGAGGUUGAGAAGGCCAGGGUUAAGGGGCAGAAUCUGCCUAAAGGAAUCCCAGAGUCCCCAUGGAGAACACCGCCUCCUUCGGCUGCUCUGUGGGGCAGUGGCCUCAUCCUGCUUUCCUCCAUUCUGAGGCCAGAGUGAUCAGGGGCAGUCAGCCCCAGUGCACCUGCAAGGAUGAUGCAUCCUUAUGCCGCAUCCCAAACACUGGCAGGUCCUGGCAUAUGGAGGGUGCUCCGGAGAAUGUACCCAAUCAGCCUCUGCUUCUUCAACGUUCCCCCACUGGAAUGAAGGUCAACUGCAGCUACGGAGCAGCUUACGGUCAGUUUUUGUCUCCAAGGGCAGACUCAAAUGGGGCAUUUUCUUUUUUCCUAAUUGAAGUAUAGUUGAUUUACAAUAUUGUGUUCGUUUCAGGUGUACAGGGAAGUGAUUAACUUGUGUAUGUUUUUUCAGAUUAUUUUCCAUUAUAGGUUAUUUUAAGAUAUUGAAUAUAGUUCCCUGUGUUAUACAGUAAAUCCUUGUUGCUUAUCUAUUUUAUGUGUAGUAGGGUGUAUCUGUUAAUCCCAUCCUAACUUAUCCCUCCCUCCCCCGCUUUCCCCUUUGGUAACCAUGAGUUUGUUCUCUAUGUCUGAGUCUGUUUCUGUUUUGUAUAUAGCUUCACUUGUAUUAUUUUUUAGAUUCCACAUAUAAGUGAUAUCAUACUGCUUUUGUCAUUCUCUGACUUAUUUCCCUUAGCAUAAUACCGUCCAAGUCCAUCCAUGUUGCUGCAAUAUUUCAUUCUUUUUUAUGGCUGAGUAAUAUUCCAUUGUGUGUGUGUGUGUGUGUGUGUGUGUGUGUGUGUACACACACACCACAUCUUCUUAAACCAAUCAUCUGUUGACAGACACUUGGGUCGUUUUCAUGUCUGGGCUAUUGUAAAUAGUGCUGCUAUGAACACCGCGGUGCAUAUAUCUUUUUUCAAAUUAGCGUUUUUGUUUUUUCUGGACAUUUUCCCAGGAGUGGAGUGGAAUUGCUGGAUCAUGUGGGCAUUUUCUGAUGGGCAUGGCUUCACGUCCUCUACUCUCUGGUCUCCUGGCACUUGUGCUGCCACCAGGCUACCAGAGCGAUGGCAAGACUAAGCUACUCUACCCUCCAGCCCCGUGGGCCAUCCCCGCCCCCACCAGCUGCAUCUCACCUGUUUGCCUCCUUGGCAAGACAGUGGACUCCUGGUUUGAGGAGAGCUUCUAGACGCAGAAAGCCAGUGCAAGUGUAGUGUCUUCUUUGGGGGCAAUUUCUAAGACAGAGCACCUGCACCACCUCCCCCUCAGCCCUGCCAGGACGCCGAUGCUGGUCUUCUGACCGGAUCCGAAUCCUGCCGUCCCUCCCCCGGGGCAGCGCUCAGCGGGGCAGCGUGACAGCUGGACAGGGAUCUGUAACAGCCUGCGGAGUUUACUGAGCUUCAGAGGGAAAGGCCUCGUCCAGAUGGCCUGCCCUAAAAGCCCAGAGGCAGCAACAUCAACCGUUCAGAGACAAGUCCAUUAGGGUCUCCCGGCCACAAGGCAAACGGAUGCUAGCAACCAAGUCGUGCUACUCACCCGUCCCUAAACAAACGCCUUCAGCAAAACCUGUUACAGAAAUCACUGAACAAACAUGCGGCGGUGCCCUCAGCUCACCGCAAAGGCCCAGAGCUGCAGAAAGCGUUCCAGGCUGGCCACAGAAGCAGAAGAAAACAUGCUGCCUGGGGUGACCAGGCCAGGUGAGCUCCUAGCAACCUCCCCGGGCCACGAGAGCACCUUUAUUGACCUUCCCCAGGAAAGGGCCGCUCUCCGCGCUGACCUGCGGCCGAGCUGUCACACUGGGGCACCUCUGUCCUCGUUCCCCAAGGGCUGUGACCGUCAGAACCCAAAGCAGAGGGAGCCACCUCACCUUGGCUGACUCGCCGGGACGAUGGUCACGGCUGCCGCUGGCCCCAGGAGCCUCUCUGGGGAGCAGCAGGUGGCUCCCGGGGCCCCAGCUCCCCCCGGCCAACUGCCUCUCACUGUCUGCCUCUGAACUGAGUCCAAGAGAAGGCUGCCCUCAGCCACGUUUUAUUUGUGGCCUCAUCAGGGUUAAAAGGAGUUUCUAUUCUAAACCAAUUUAUACUCAAAUUGUUGCAAAGGCAAACAGUUCCAGAAAACGAACCAUAUUUGGCCUGAGUGACUCUGAAAAGUUUGAGCAGAAUCAGUGUAGGAACAGCUCUCUGCACGAGGACAAGUUCCCAAGACACACACCCACCAGGUGAAGGGCAGAGGAAGGCAGAGAGGAGCGCUGGACCAGCUGUGAUCCGGCCACCAGACUUGCCGUGUCCCCACUCGGCUGUACCCGGGAUGCCCUGACCCGCGCCCAGAAGCCAGGCCACACCCGGGAGGGGAGCCGGCUCAGCCUGCGAGGAGGCCCAGCCCCUGCGGCGUGCCCUCCCCUGGGGCGUCAGAACUGCCGGGGCCUGUGGCUCCUGAAGCAGCCAGGUAAGAAAGAGGCCCAGGAAGCAGAGGGUUCCCAGCUUGUGCUCCAACCCAAGCCCCACCAGAGAGGCGCACGGCGAGGGGGAAGCGUAGUCUGCGCUCAGAGCACCGAGGUCACGUCGCAGCCCACCCACUGCGCGGCUGAGAGACUGGGCCAGCGGCUUCGAAUCCUGAGGUCAGUGUGCACGGGGCAGGCUGGGGGGCAGCCCAACCUUCACAGGCUGUUCUGAGGAUUAGAGAGACGGUGCAAAGCACCGGCCCCCGGGACAGCUCCGGGCCCUGAGAAUGGCGGUCAUGUGCGAUGGAAAGUUAGGGCCUGGGUGGGGGUGGGGGUGGCACCGCUCGAAAGCUCUCCCCAGUGUCCUGUUCCCAGGCCCGCAGGGCUGCCAUCGGGCAGAGGGUCCCCACCUCCACCUCGCCCUCCCUCCACCGCGGGGACUCCAGGGGAACCCAGCUCAGGCCCUCAAAGAGGAGGGGGACCAUGGUGACGGAGGGGGACCAUGGUGACGUCUUAAAGUCAGAAAUUCUCAGUCUGAUUCUUGGCUCCACUUUUUUUAAAAUAUAUAUCUAUUUAUUUAUUUUUGGCUGUGUUGGGUCUUUGUUGCUGCACACGGGCUUUCUCUAGUCGUGGCGAGCGGGGCCUACUCUUCCUUGCAGUGCGCAGGCUUCUCAUUGUGGUGGCUUCUCUUGUUGUGGAGCACGGGCUCUAGGCGCACGGGUUUCAGUAGUUGUGGCUCGUGGGUUCUAGAGCACAGGCUCGGUAGUUGUGGCCCACGGGCUUAGUUGCUCCGCAGCAUGUGGGAUCUUCCCGAACCAGGGCUCGAACCCAUGUCCCCUGCAUGGGCAGGCAGAUUCUUAACCACUGAGCCACCAGGGAAGUCCUCCGCUUCUUACUAGGUGUGUGACCUUAAAGAAAUCACUGAACCUCUCUGAGCUCUGAGCAUCAAUGUGGAGGAGGAAAACCUCCUGGACAGCUUCCGGAAGGAGAGGUUUCAAUCAGGUGACUCAGAUGUCACUUCCUAGGCCUACGAAUCAUCAGAAAAGCCCAGGCUCUGUAAGGAAGUCUAAGAAUAACUAGUUAAUAGCACUGUAGGACCUACAAAUAUGGCUUUACUCUUUUUUUUCUUUCUUGGAAUACUUUUUAAAUGAUGUAACAUAUCCCCUACUUAAGAUUAAUAAGAAAAUAGUGUUUAAAGAAUAAAAAUCACCUGCAAUUUUUUUUUUAAGCAACAACAGAACAGACCGGAGAAAGGUCCAACUACCCAACAAGAGACUAACCUUUAAGGAAUCCAACGUAGUUGAUCGAAAA